UACGGAGGGUGCAAGCGUUAUCCGGAAUCACUGGGUUUAAAGGGUGCGUAGGCGGGCAGGUAAGUCCGUGGUGAAAUCUCUGAGCUUAACUCAGAAACUGCCGUGGAUACUAUUUGUCUUGAAUAUUGUGGAGGUGAGCGGAAUAUGGCAUGUAGCGGUGAAAUGCUUAGAUAUGACAUAGAACACCAAUUGCGAAGGCAGCUCACUACACAAUUAUUGACGCUGAGGCACGAAAGCGUGGGGAGCAAACAGG
rnacentral:rRNA from 1 species